AUGGGCCGAGCUCUCCCGGGGGUAGGCCCACGAGCUUCCCUGCGGGACACAAGCGCAGUGAGCCGGCGGGAGGCCCCCGGGGAUUGGCACGGCAGCAGCCGAGCCCCGGCCAGCGCAGCCCCGAGACCCGGGACCUACCUGGUGUCGAGGCUCCGGGUGCAGCGGGCUCCUGGCAAAGGCCGCCAGGUCCUCCGGGGGGGUCCGCAGCCCGUUGGCGAGGGAGCUGAAGAGACAGCUGGUGUUCAGGGCGCAGGCGUCCCUCYCGCCGCCCCUGCCAGGCUGCGCGUCCCCCGGGGACCUGCUCCCGGCCAGGAGCGGGUCGGACACGGAGGCCUCGAGUUUCAGCCUGUGGACGAGCCGCUCCUGGAGCUUGGGCUGCGCAGGAGGGGUGCGCGAGCCUCCGCCGUGCCCGUUCCUGCCGUCGCACGCCAGCGGCGAGGCCGGCGCCCGGAGGCUCUCGCCGCCCCCCAGGAGCCUGCCCGGCGCCGGCACGGGGCCCCCCUCCUCUCGGGUGCCGCGGCCGCCGGCCUCGCCGAGCUCCAGGCUGCGGCUGAGGCCGCGGGGGGCGUCCUCCCGCCGGGGCUGGGGCGCCGGGAGCCCGUUCAGCGUCUUCACGCUGGCCUUCUCGAUGAAGCGGAAGGUGACCACGGAGCUGUGCCCGCCGGGCGCCGGUGCCACCAGCGGGCUGCGGCCGCCCGGGGAGGCCGGCGCCGGGCUCUGCCUGCCCCUCUGCGGGGUGCAGGGGGCCGUGGCGUGCCCCGCGCCCGGGCAGCUCCCGCUGCCGAAGAGCCCCGUCUCCGCCGGCUUGCGGGCCAAGGAGCCGGUGCUGUUGUACAGGCCGAGGGGGCAGCGCCGGGCGUCGGGGGCCAGGCCCUUGCGCAGGAGAUGGAGCCGGCCCGCGUUGAGGUUGGGCGUGAGGCAGCGCGGGGGGCUGUAGGUCCCGGGAUCAGGGCUCGUGGUGGCCACCAGCCAGGGCCUCCGGUCCACAUCACGGGCGAACGGCGGGGGCGAGGCGGCGCAGCCCUCUUGGGGGCAGAAGCGGACAACCCCCCCAGCCUGGGCCAUCCUGCCGGAGGAGGCACCGAGACGUCAGGUCUGGAGCCAGGCAGGGCGGCAUGGGGACAGCGAGGAGCUUUCCCAGCACCCCUGAGAUGA
rnacentral:lncRNA from 1 species